rnacentral:rRNA from 2 species
GGAUGCGAUCAUACCAGCACUAAAGCACCGGAUCCCAUCAGAACUCCGAAGUUAAGUGUGCUUGGGCGAGAGUAGUACUAGGAUGGGUGACCUCCUGGGAAGUCCUCAUGUUGCAUUCA